rnacentral:lncRNA from 1 species
AUUGAAUCUGCAUCUUCAUGGAUACUAGUGGGAUUCAUUACCGCUGAGCCACAAUGGGAACUCCCAGCUAGUAACCUCGAUGAUCUAGUUUGAAGAAGGCAUGUAACCUCUCUGAUCCAGUUUCCUCAUUUGUAAAAUGAAGGUAAAGAUUAUGCUGUUAUUAGUGUCCUGGGGCUGCAGUAACACAUGAGCCCAAACUGCGUGGCUGAACACAGAGAGGUGUUUUCUCACAGCUCUGGAAGCCAAAAGUCUUAAAGCAAGGGGUUAGCAUGGCUGUGCUCCCUCUAAAGUCUCUGCGGGAGGAUCCUUCCUUGCUCUUCCAGCUUCUAGUGGUCCAGGUGCUCCCUGGUUCAUAGCUGCAUCACUCCAGCCUCUGCCUCCAUCUUCACAGGGCCACCCUAGGCCUGGGAUUAUUCCACAUGCAUUGGAGCUCAAAUGUAGCUCAGUCACCAAAUCCUUCUGCAGGUGAUGCUGAUCCCUUUGCUCUCCUUCCUCAGUCUCCAGAGCUGGACCAGGAACAGCCCCCCUGCUGCCUUUCUGGGCCUCCCAGGUUGCAGCCAGGAAGAUGCUCUGAGGACAAAGUCUAGAGCUGAAGCCUGAAGGAGAGGAAGGACCCUGGACAAGCCACCAAACCAACUCCAACUGCCAUAAGGGGCCACCUCAGCAAGGCCCUUCUAGAACUGGCUGCUGGCAUUCACCUCCACAAAGAGCCCCUUGAAAUGCUGGAACUGCAUCCUGCAAAGCAGGCCUGGGAACAAACAAGAAUCAGCCUCCUACACUCCAAAAUGGGACAAAUCCUUGCAAUGUCCAGCAAUUUCAGAGGCGAAUACAGACUUCCUAGAAGCAUGCUACCCAGCCACGCUACAGAUUUCCUCAGAACUCCUCACCACUGCCCUCACCUCUGACCUGUCCAGGGACCAGCAAAAUAGAAAAGGAGGAAGUGCCCCCCUCGAUGAGCCCACGUCCCUGUCUCAGCAGCACAGACACGGUGAACAGUACAUGACCCUGUCUGCCAUCCCACUGUUUCCUCUUGCGUGCAUUCAUUUAAACCUCACCAGGGAGGUUCCAUGACCCCUAUUUUACAUGAAAGGAAACUGAGGCUCGGGGGACAUGGAAUGGUUGCCCAGUGCACGCAUGGGCAUUGCUUCCCUGAGCCUUAGUUGCCUCCCUUGACUGCAUUCACACAGCAGCAUGGAUGUAUCAUUCUGGAAACCACCUUUCUUCUGUGCCUCCUACCCCCUAAAUAAAAUGAAUACCAAGCAAAACA